CCUACGGGAGGCAGCAGUGAGGAAUAUUGGUCAAUGGACGAGAGUCUGAACCAGCCAAGUAGCGUGAAGGAUGACUGCCCUAUGGGUUGUCAACUUCUUUUAUAUGGGAAUAAAAUGUUCCACGUGUGGGUUUUUGUAUGUACUUUAUGAAUAAGGAUCGGCUAACUCCGUGCCAGCAGCCGCGGUAAUACGGAGGAUCCGAGCGUUAUCCGGAUUUAUUGGGUUUAAAGGGAGCGUAGAUGGUUUGUUAAGUCAGUUGUGAAAGUUUGCGGCUCAACCGUAAAAUUGCAAUUGAGACUGGCAGUCUUGAGUACAGUAGAGGUAGGCGGAAUUCGUGGUGUAGCGGUGAAAUGCUUAGAUAUCACGAAGAACUCCGAUUGCGAAGGCAGUUCACUAGACUGAAACUGACACUGAGGCUCGAAAGUGUGGGUAUCAAACAGGAUUAGAUACCCCAGUAGUC
rnacentral:rRNA from 1 species